rnacentral:rRNA from 1 species
UACGGAGGGGGCGAGCGUUAUUCGGAAUUAUUGGGCGUAAAGGGCGCGUAGGCGGCUGGGCAAGUCAAAGGUGAAAUCCCUCGGCUCAACUGAGGAACUGCCUUUGAAACUGCCUGGCUUGAGGCCGGGAGGGGGUAGCGGAAUUCCCAGUGUAGCGGUGAAAUGCGUAGAUAUCAGGAGGAACACCCAUGGCGAAGGCAGCAAACUGGCCGGCAUCUGACGCUGAGGCGCGAAAGCGUGGGUAGCAAACAGG